rnacentral:rRNA from 1 species
AUUGAACGCUGGCGGCAUGCCUUACACAUGCAAGUCGAACGGCAGCACGGGAGCAAUCCUGGUGGCAAGUGGCGAACGGGUGAGUAAUACAUCGGAACGUGCCCAAUCGUGGGGGAUAACGCAGCGAAAGCUGUGCCAAUACCGCAUAAGAUCUACGGAUGAAAGCAGGGGAUCGCAAGACCUUGCGCGAAUGGAGCGGC